CCCCUCCCACUUCUCCGGCCGCGCGCCAACCCCCACCCCUAGACGCCCUAGACGUCCUUUGGGAACAGACCUGGGAUGCUACUCUGGUCCCCAUUUAGGGGCCGCUUCCACGUGCUUCACGUGCGACCCUUCCAGCUGUUUACGCUGGAUUCUGCCUUGCCACUCCAGCUGUCCCUAUUCCCUGAGCCCGGGACGAGGAGGCGGUCUGGAGUCCCGAGGGACUCCUGGUGAAGGGCGGGGGCUGAGGAGGAAAGGACACACACCGAAUUCUACUGGACUGGGCAGGAGAAGGCUGGAUCCCGGCCCUUGGGUGUGGGGGACAAGUCCAGAUGGGGGAGGUCAGGUUUGCCCCUCCCACAUCCAUCAUCACCCCACCCCCUACGCCCUCAGCUGGGCGCGCGCCUCUGAGGUCCCACUGAGGUCUGGAGGAAUCCUACACCCGGCCCACAGCCCUCCCGGAGCUCAGUCGGCUGGUUCCCAUUAGAGCAGUUCCGGGUGUCGACUUUGCUGGGGGGCGGGGAGGGUGACCCCCCCACUCGGAUCCUCCAGGUCCUAAAGGUAGCAGGGUUUCUCGAACCCUCCAGGGCUGUUUUUGGAGUUCGAGAGGCAGGAAAGAGAUGGAUUUAGGGAGCCAGCCCUCUGGAUCAUGAGAUGACCUGUCCUGCCCACUCUGGCUGAUCUUGUUCAGUUCCAAGAAAGCCCCAGAAUGGGUUCUUUGGAACAGUCGGCUUUAUUCCCCGAGGGGCACAAUCAAAUAAAUGCAUUUUUCCUCCCCUGAAACUUUCAAGUCAGCUUAGGAGACUUUCUGACGCUGAAGAGCCAGCAGAGGGUGUUAAACAAUGCUUUGAUGAGAUAUUAAGUAUGGAGGCAGGAGACUGCUGGCGACCACAGAAAGGGUAAAGGACUCAGGAGCCAGAGUGACUCUAGGGGCCUAUCCUGAGUUCAUCUGGUACCUUAACUUUUAGAGGGCCUUUGCCUCAUCCAGUUGUGAAGACUGAAGACCGCUGGGUAGCCGGCUGCACAGGUGAGGUCAGGGGGCAUUGUAAAGGAGUUGGGGGGCAGCCAGGGCUAGGUAAUGUGAGCAUAUUCACAGCUCCCAGAGCCUGCCCAGUAGUGGGUCAGGCAGGACAGCCACCUUGGGGAAAAGCAGCCUUCCAAGGGGUCACAUGGUAUGAGCAAAAUGGAACUCGCACACUUCUGGUUUGCCCACCAGUCCCCAGGAAAACAGCGGUUUGCUUCCUCAGCCCCCAGCCUGCAGAGGAGGCAAAUGCUAUCAAUCCCAGAGCCCACAGAUCACAGUCUGCUGAACUCUGCCUGCUGCUCUAUCCAAGAUGAAGCGUUGGUGUCCUUGCUCCCUGGAAUCCUCACGGCUGGGCACUUCUGUGGAUGUUAGAAGUGAGUUCAAGGUUGCGAAGAAAAAGACCACCAUUCCGACUGAAGUGUGUGGACCAGGCAGACUUCACUCUUGAUCAGCAGAGUAACUGGAAAAUCCAGCAAGAUUUUCCUGGAGACAAGAGCGUUCGACACGGCAUCCAGUUCCUCUGAGCCUGGAGUCUUCUCCGCCUAGAAGCAAUAAAGCUUGAGCCCCAGAAGCCAGGUUAGGCUGCAGCACAUCUGACAGCAGCAAAAACCGGUGUGAGUGUGGUCCCAAGCCGCCAACCCCCGCAGGAACCUAAACACUGUGUGCUCUGAGAGCUAACCAUUUGCCCGGUGUAAAGCACCAUAAAAAGAGGAUGGGGAAAGGCGGAGGGAGGGGGCAGUCACAUCCAAGAGGCAGAAAGAAAAGUCAGACUGUUCAGAAGAACCCCAGCAUCAAUGGAAGUGACCAUCUGGUCCCAGGGAGUGCCCAUCCCUAAGGCCACACAGAUGGCAGCAAUGUCCACCUGUUGGGAAGACUGACCCUCUGAGGACUCUAUGAGAAACAUCUAGAAUGGUGAUGUUCUCAGGAUGGGAGGUAAUAGAGGGAACCACCUUUUGGGGUCCCUGUCGUGAACACACAGUGUCAUAAACAUAAAGGACACAUUUGUGUCUUCCCAUAAUGUCCGAAUGUAUUGAAUUGCAAUAAACUCACUCGGUUGCAAUUUCA